rnacentral:rRNA from 1 species
GAUGAACGCUGGCGGUAUGCCUAACACAUGCAAGUCGUACGAGAGUUUUUAACUCUAGUGGCGGACGGGUGAGUAACACGUGAGAAUUUGCCUUUAGGAGGGGGAUAACAAUUGGAAACGAAUGCUAAUACCCCAUAUGCUUUUGAGUGAAAUGGAUUUUAUCCGCCUAGAGAGAAGCUCGCGGCUGAUUAGCUUGUUGGUAAGGUAAGAGCUUACCAAGGCGACGAUCAGUAUCUGGUUUGAGAGGACGAUCAGACACACUGGAACUGAGACACGGUCCAGACUCCUACGGGAGGCAGCAGUGAGGAAUAUUGGACAAUGGGCGCAAGCCUGAUCCAGCCAUGCCGCGUGCAGGAUGACGGUCCUAUGGAUUGUAAACUGCUUUUGUACAGGAAGAAACACUCCCUCGUGAGGGAGCUUGACGGUACUGUAAGAAUAAGGAUCGGCUAACUCCGUG